GUAACUCAGGGGAUGUGGUCUGCCGAAAGGUGUGUACUGCUCCCCUGAUACCUCUUUCUGCUGUUGAGCAUCGCUAGCCUUAAGUGGCUGGUGGGUGCCUACUGCAGAUCGUUUACUUUGAAUAAAUUAGAGUGUUCCAAGCAGGCAAGCUUUGCCUUGAAUACAUUAGCAUGGGAUAAUGGAAUAGGACUACUCGUCCAUUUCGUUGGUUUUGGGGCUUGUAGUA
rnacentral:rRNA from 1 species